rnacentral:tRNA from 1 species
GGAGAGAUGGCUGAGUGGACGAAGGCGCUCGACUGGAAAUCGAGUGUGUGGGCUAAAACCUGCACCGAGGGUUCGAAUCCCUCUCUCUCCG